rnacentral:tRNA from 1 species
GGGCGUGUAAAUGGUUAGUCAAGUAGGCAAGAACAUGACACCUUGUAACUUGAAAACGCAGGUUCGAUUCCUGCCACGUCCA